CUCAAGAGUAAGCUCGAAACGGGUCACUCACAAUGAGUAAAGCAAAGCCAACAACUUGGUCCCCAAAGACAUGGGCAACGGCUCGACACAACCAAGCAACACAUCUAGCAAAAGCAACUCAAAUGCAACUCCCCCUGAGCAAAUGCAAUCUCUCUCAAAUGAAUGCAUGUCUCUCUUUUUGUGUGUAACUUUCUCCCCCUUGUUGACACAUGCACUUAUCAAGAUUUGCCCAAGGAGUGCAACUCCCCCUCAAAACAUGCUAUGAAUGCAA